UCCCUGAAGGUCCAGUGGUUAAGACUCUGCCCUUCUACUGCAGCGGGCAUGGGUUCAAUCCCUGUUUAGGGAA
rfam:TPA: Bos taurus chromosome 15, whole genome shotgun sequence.